UUGUAAGCAAGUGCUGCUGAUAUGGGUAGGUCUUCUCAGUAGUAGAAAAGUUUGACUUCCAGUUUGCAUUUUUUGUGUCACUAUGACAACUUUGAUUUGAAAUAUAUACACACACACGAUUAGCAUAGGUUAUACAGACACUGACGGAAUCAUUUUGUUCAUACAGUUUGUAUCAUUUUCCUUUUAAUGCAGAAAAAGAAAAACCCAAUACCAAAACAACAACAUUUGGUUAUUGCAAGUUACACCAAAAUAAGAAUGUCUUGCAAUUCUCAAAGCACAACUGAUAUCGUUUUCAUUCACAUUCCGAAUAAUGAACUACACAGUUAUAGCAUAAAAUUGUCAGAUACUGGAACUGGAAAC